AACAUAGGCAUAUAUUACAAUAGUACAAAGCCUUCAACAUGUGUCCUCUCUUACAUAGUGAACUUUGUGUGUGGUUUUUUAUUUCAUGCAAACAAGUUUUAAACAACUUUGCUGUAAUAAACAUAAUUUUACAGUCAUGACAGUGGCCAUUAGUACUAAAUACAGCUUUCUCCAACUUCUAGCUUCUCUGUUUCAGCUUAUAUCUCUACUGCCCUCUAUUGGGCACAAAGCCUUACAACAAGUACUGAGCCAUUCCAACGUUUCAAUUUCAAACAUGUUUUUUUCGUUUCAAUAUCAUUUUAGCCUCUGAUCCCGACACGUGCUGCAGCAUUUCAUUCCAAAAUACUGAAGUAAACUGUAAUUAUACAAUACACAAGUAAUAACAGAGCUAUUCUGCUCUUUGAACAUAAGGAGCAAAAUGUGUAUUUGUGCAUGUGGGUAAAAACGAACUCCGUGUUUUUAGUUUUUUUUUUUUUUUUUCAUGAAAAUGAACAUGAACACACCUUAUUGUCAACCAACAUAAACAGUUUAAGAAUCAAGUUCAUGAGAUCAUCUUUAAGGGGAAUCUGGCUGCUAUAACCUGUUUUUUGUGUGUGAGUGAUGUGAACAAAU